AUAAUCACCAGCAGGGAGGAUACCAUGAUCAAGAAGGUUUUCCCAGGGUGAGGCUCUCCCAUUGCACUCUGGGUAUGCCGGCUCCUGUGAUUUUCCCAAAUACAGGAGAUUCAACUGCAUGAUUUGUGGUAGUAGGGGACAGCAUUUGAGCUUUUCCCUU